GACGUAGGGCGCGAGCGUUGUCCGGAUUUAUUGGGCGUAAAGAGCUCGUAGGCGGCUUGUCGCGUCGACCGUGAAAACUUGGGGCUCAACCCCAAGCCUGCGGUCGAUACGGGCAGGCUCGAGUUCGGUAGGGGAGACUGGAAUUCCUGGUGUAGCGGUGAAAUGCGCAGAUAUCUGGAGGAACACCGGUGGCGAAGGCGGCAUCCUGGACCAACACUGACACUGAGGAGCGAAAGCCAGGGGAGCAAACGGG
rnacentral:rRNA from 1 species